rnacentral:lncRNA from 1 species
AUAAUUUUACUAUGGUAUAUAUUUAUACUCAGCUCAUCUAUCAUGUAAGUUACAUGGUAUAAAUUGGACUCUUUUACACAAACAAUCUCCCACGUUAACUCAACAUAUAUACAUUUUUUAGAUCCUAAUUUAAAGCAAAGUAAUUGUCUUAAUGUGGAAGUUUCACCAUUUAAUUGUCUUAGUGUAGUUAUAUGGUGCAUGAAGUUGUUUUAGCUACAGUUUUAGUUCAGGUAUACCUAUUUUUAUAAUAUUCACUGUCAAUCGAUUAUUUGUGCCAGCAAGGUAAGGAGCUACUACAAAUUCUUUCAUAUUUAUCUGCCUUAAUUUAGGUGCUAUUUUAUUCACACACAUGUGCACAAGUAACAGAUGUCAAUCAAUGCUAAAUCACUCAGGUCACUGUGUAUAUGUGAUCCUGCCUCUUGAAUAAUUAGUGGAACACCAUUGUGAACGGCUCAAGGAGAAAGCUAAUGUAGUUGUCGCCUUGCAGGUACAAUUAAUGUCAAGUAAGGUGGGUGAGAAAAAUGCCGGUGUAGGACAAUUGAAGUGGAGGUGUGAUCGCUGCAUUGGGAUCAAUGAUUACUUAAGAGACAAAGGUUUGAUUUAGUUGUAUGUAUCCAGUUGAGUCGGAUUUGCGGAUUUGCGUCGGCCGAAGUAAAUUUCUGCAUGAAUUUGUUAGUAUUUACUUCUACUUAAUCAAUACGUGUACACAUAACUCUUUUUUAAGUAGGAUUGAAUAUUAGAAUAAUUUUUUGAUGAGUGCUUAAGUAUAUCUUCCUAGAUUUCUAGAUGGAUUAAUAUCUCUAUCAAUUGGAUGUUGCACCUAUGCAUAUAAUAUCACCAUGUAACUAAAGGAUAUGUCCCCUGUAUCGAUGAUAUUACUACCUAUGUUUCUCUGAAUAACCUUCGUGGACUGAUUAACUGGGUGCAUUAUCUUAUAGGAUUUUAGCAAUGUUUAUCUACCGCCACUGAAUAUAAAAGUUUGCUCCCUGCAAACAAAAAAAAGAAUAUAAAGUUUGCCAAUAUAAUAUAAAAGUUUGCCUUUGGAAUGUUCAGGUAUACUUAAUUAGAGUUUUACAUGAUACACACGGACUAGAAAUUCUUACGUCCACUUGACAUAAAAGGGAAAAUGCAUUUUGAAUUCUAUCCAAUAAGACAGGCUUUCUUUUGACGCCGUGGAUAUCACAUUAUUUCAGAAAAUAGUAAAAUCUAUGAAAUAGAUUUGGUGCUAUAUCUAAUAGAAGAAAUAGUUGGUGUUCCAACAUACAUUAAGUUAUUCUACCAAAGAGAUUACUUAUAAAAGGAUUGUGCAGCAGAGAGUGCAUUUGACGACUCCGUAUCAAAUAUAUUCUAACUUCAGUACGGAGACUACUAGAUAUAUUGGUUAGCUGGGGCUGAAGCAUUACACAAUUUUAAUACCAUGAAAUAGAUUUUGUGAUAUAUCUAGUACAAGAAAUAGUUGGUGUUCCAACAUACAUUUAGUUAUUAUAGUAAAGAAAUAUGUAUAUGAGAAAAAAAUGCUAAUUAGGCUGUAAAACUCAUACUGUUUUGGUAUACUCCUAAUUUGGACAUACUGCAUACUUCUUUUUCAGAUACCAUCAUUUUUUUCUUGCAGGCGGCAAUGGCAAGAGCAUAUUGUGCAGAGGAAGAGGAUGAACCUUAAUGCGUUGAACCUUGUAUACUAGAACCUUGCAGGUGUUUUUGCAGAAGUAUUCUGUUGUGUACAUGUAAAAUUAUGUUGAUGCGCCCUUGUUAGGCGUUGAACCUUAAUGCGUGUAGUCGGUGGAUGAUGUAUUGUAUUUGAUGUGAUAUGCUAUUGAAAUGAAAUAUACAUUUUAUUUGCAAUCUUUUAUUCUAUUGUACUUAUUUUUAAUGGGCCUAUCCUGCGAUAUGGGUGCUUCUAUUAAAAAAAUGCUUCAACCCAAACAAAUGAGACAUUUUCAAUAGUAAAAUAGGUAUUGGGCUAGGCCAUGUAGCUAGAU